rnacentral:lncRNA from 7 species
UAGCGGAAGUGGCAUUUGUGUAAAUGGGUGUCCUGCUGAAUGUAUACUGAACAUCUUUCAAAUACUGUGCCAUAAGGCAUUUUGCACUUCCUCUACACAACCUGUGUUUACCCUAACUGCUGCCUGCUGAUGCCGGAGAGGAAAGAAGAGAUGUUCAAGAGGAGCCUGGCCAGAAUUCUGCUCAGAACAUAAAGAAUCUUGAAAACUGACAAAGUAACAAUGAAAAGAAGAGAAAGAAGCCUGCUUAAAACUGCAUUAGAGGAAAUACUGUGGAGGUUGAUCUGGGAAUACUCUGAGAGAGAUAAUUAAGAUUUUAAUCUAUUAUUAGGAAGGGCAAGAAAAUUAUUAGGCAGCACAGUAUUGUUUGUUCUUCUUUCCUCAUAGAUUCUUCUUGCUGAUAACUUUCUCAAGGCAAAGACAGUCUCCUGCAAAUGAGUCAGCUAGAUCUUAUUUAUUCCAGGGUGCAUAUCUCACUCUUUGAGGGUGUUCAUUGUGUCAAAUUAGUCCUGUUAGUUCUAGGGAGGUGACACGCUACUUGGAAUUAAAGACCGUGGUCCCAGAAGCAUCAGGCAGAACAUCAGUCAUGAGCUUGCCUGAAGAGCACAAAUCAAACAAGUUUUUUAUUGUCAUGCCUUCAGUUGACCCAUUGGAGGAUGAAGCUCAUACACUUAUCCUCCAGUGUUGCAGUGAGACCAUGCAUAUAGUUAAAGCAGGUCAAUAUGGUACUGUGGAAGUCAAUGUAGCUAGGCAGUUUAAUGAAUAUCUGACCUAGUGUAUGCAGGGGUAAGUGCUUGAAGUUUACAUAUUACACCAUGCUCAGAGGAAAGGCAGUCCAUCUGCUUUCUUUUUAAAGAGGCUUGAAAAAAAAACAGAAGGAAUGGCUGAUGUGUCAAGACAGCAGUGAAGAGAAAUACUUGAAUUGUUGGCAGCCUAGUCAAAGAUUUGGAGUCAUUUUCAAGCUUGUUGCUUAAGGAAGAAAACAAAAAAGCGAAAACAGAAAUGAAAUCCCAACUGGACAUAAAGAAAAACACAUGUACACAUUUAAAAACCACCGAGAAAUCAAACUCCCCACCCCUCCCCAACCUUUUGCUGCACAGCUUUGCUUCAGAAAAUGUUCUGUAAUUUCCUCUAGAAAAUAUUGCAUUACUCUAAGUAGAUAUUACAAUAUCCAGAUAUAAAUAGGGGGAGGCAUAGAGACUACAGCUGAAGAUGAAAAUUUUAUGUGCAUGCUUCUUUAUUCGGAAAAUACUAGUAAAGAAAGGCAAAACAUCGCUUAAUGGGCACAAGAAUAUUUGUUAAAGAUUAUCUCUGCAACAGCUUGGGAUCAAAGGAACAAACCCACAUCUUCCCUUUACCUAUCUAUCUUUUAUCAGUUAUGCCUUCAUAUGUUUUACCAUUUCUUUCCCAAAGGUUAUCUUCUGCUAUGCAACUUUUAUGCUUUUAUUCUUUUUAAUUGAUUUAGCCAGAAGUUAAACAGACACUCAGGCUUCUAGUUGUAGUAGCACUCUGGCAAUUCAGUUCACAUGAAACAUCCCCAAAUGCCAUAUAAAUAGAUAUGC